GACGAACGCUGGCGGCGUGCCUAAUACAUGCAAGUCGAACGAGAGCGCCCGGUGCUUGCACUGGUCAAUCUAGUGGCGAACGGGUGAGUAACACGUGGGUAACCUGCCCAUCAGAGGGGGAUAACAUCCGGAAACGGAUGCUAAAACCGCAUAGGUCUUCGAACCGCAUGGUUUGAAGAGGAAAAGAGGCGCAGGCUUCUGCUGAUGGAUGGACCCGCGGUGCAGUAGCUAGUUGGUGAGGUAACGGCUCACCAAGGCCGUGAUGCAUAGCCGACCUGAGAGGGUGAUCGGCCACAUUGGGACGGAGACACGGCCCAAACUCCUACGGGAGGCAGCAGUAGGGAAUCUUCCGCAAUGGACGCAAGUCUGACGGAGCAACGCCGCGUGAGUGAAGAAGGUUUUCGGAUCGUAAAACUCUGUUGUUAGAGAAGAACAAGUGCUAGAGUAACUGUUAGCGCCUUGACGGUAUCUAACCAGAAAGCCACGGCUAACUACGUG
rnacentral:rRNA from 1 species